rnacentral:misc_RNA from 1 species
UAAGUGUUAAAUUACGUAUAUUGUGUUUGAGUUAUUAGUUUUUUUAUAUAUUUUUAAAAAAUAAAAUACAAUGGGCAGAAAAAAAAAGAAGCAAUCUAGACCAUGGUGCUGGUACUGUAAUAGAGAAUUUGAUGAUGAAAAAAUUUUAAUUCAACAUCAAAAAGCUAAACAUUUUAAAUGUCAUAUUUGUCAUAAAAAACUUUACACUGGUCCAGGAUUGAGUAUACAUUGUAUGCAGGUACAUAAAGAAGCAAUUGAUAAAGUACCAAAUUCGCUACCAAAUCGUAGCAAUAUAGAAAUAGAAAUUUAUGGAAUGGAAGGUAUACCACCAAAUGAUGCAAAAGAACAUGAAAGAUUAAGAAAUGGUGGUCGUCCUGGUUCACCAAGUUCUGGUGAAGAUGAACCAGUACAAAAAAAAAUGAAACCUGAAGGUUUAUUAGGUUCAGCACCUGGUGCAAUGUCAACAAGUACUGGUAUGAUGCCAGGUGUUAUGCAAGGAAUGCAAAGACAACAUCAUGGUAUGCCACAAAUGGGACAAUAUCCACCACCUAUGCAUCAUCAUAUGAUGGGACAUAUGGGUCAUAUGGGACAACCAUUUAUGGGACCUGGAAUGAUGCAAGGAAUGCCAGGUAUGCCACCAGUUUCAAAUGCAUCAAUGCCAGGUAGACCAUUAUUUCCAAGUGCAAUUGUAUCAUCAGCAGCAACAUCAAUAUCAAAUAAUUUAUCAAUGCAUGGUUCAAGUAUUACAUCAAUGGCUGGUAGUUCAAUUGGUCCAGUUAAACCAACAUUUCCAGCUUAUGGUAGUAAUGAAAGUACUGUUUCAUCAACAAAUAAUACAACGAAUAAUAAUGAACAAAAAGUUAAUUUAAUUGCAACAACUGGUGCUGCAAGUAAAAUUAUACAUCCACCAGAAGAUCUUAGUCUUGAAGAAAUACGUGCAAGGUUACCAAAAUAUCAAAGACGACAAAAUGAUGAUGCAAAUAGAAGUCAAGAAGUAGCAAAUCAUCAAGCUGCUGUUUUACAACAUCAACAAGCUCAACAGCAAGCCCAACAACAACAACAACAAGCUCAACAACAACAACAACAAGCUCAACAGCAACAUCAACAACAACAACAACAACAACAAGCCCAACAGCAACAUCAACAACAACAAGCCCAACAACAACAACAACAAGCUCAACAACAACAAGCACAACAACAACAACAGCAGCAACAUCAUCAUCAACAACAACAACAAGCAGCAGUUAAUGCUGCAGUAGCAUUCCAGGAUCAACAACAGAGACAACAAGCUGCAUUAUCUGCUUUACAACAACAACAACAAAGAUUUCAGAGACCACCACAAGCUGUAAUGGUAUCAGCAUCUGGUGGUAUGCCUGUAUCAUCAGUUGCAUUAAUGGCACCUUUAAUGAGACCAACAAUGACACUUGCUGCACCUGCUCUUAUUCAUGGAGGUAACAUGAUGCGACCGCCCCCCAUGGGCCUGCCACCAGGGCGCCCAGUCACUCCUCGGUGAGUGUUGAAUGAUCCCAGUCUGGUUACUAAAAACGUGUUUUAUUCUCAAGUGCAACAAGGAAUGAUUGGAGCAUUACCACCAGGUGCAAUGCAUCCAGCAUUUGCAACACCAAUGGGUUUUCCUGGAGGGCCAAUGUUGGCACCAAUGAUGCAUCCACGCUUCAGAUGAUC